rnacentral:pre_miRNA from 11 species
UUACCCAUGUUGGAGAAGCAGGGUACAUGCUAGAUCUGCGUGGAUUGAAUCACACAGUUUUGCAUGUGCAUUGCUUCUCCAUCUUGGAUCA